ACUGCUGUGGCCCAACUGGCAGAGGCAUCGGUCUUAAGAACCGACAGGUGUGGGUUCAAGUCCCACCAGCAGUACCA
rnacentral:tRNA from 1 species